GCGAACGCUGGCGGCGUACUUAACACAUGCAAGUCGAACGAGGAGCUUCGGUGUAGCAAUACAUCGGAGUUUCUAGUGGCGCACGGGUGAGUAACACGUGGGUAACCUGUCCUCGAGCUCGGGAUACCCUCUCGAAAGGGAGGCUAAUACCGGAUACGUUCCCCGGAUUGCGAAAUCUGGGGAGGAAAGGUGGCGAAAGCUACCACUCUUGGAGGGGCUCGCGGCCUAUCAGCUAGUUGGUGAGGUAAUGGCUCACCAAGGCUAUGACGGGUAGCUGGUCUGAGAGGACGACCAGCCGCACGGGAACUGAGACACGGUCCCGACUCCUACGGGAGGCAGCAGUGGGGAAUUUUCCGCAAUGGGCGAAAGCCUGACGGAAGUGGACGCCGCGUGGGGGACGAAGGCCUUCGGGUUGUAAACCCCUGUCAGAGGGAAAGAAGGGUCAUGUGGCUAAUAUCCACGUGAUCUGACGGUACCUUCAGAGGAAGCCCCGGCCAACUCUGUGCCAGCAGCCGCGGUAAGACAGAGGGGGCAAGCGUUGCUCGGAAUCACUGGGCGUAAAGGGCGCGUAGGCGGGGAUGGCAAGUCAGUCGUGAAAUCUCUCGGCUCAACCGAGAAAACGUCGGCUGAUACUGCCGUUCUUGAGGGAUGCAGAGGAGACUGGAAUUCCCGGUGUAGCGGUGAAAUGCUGUAGAGAUCUGGGAGGAACACCGGUGGCGAAGGCGGGUCAUCCUGGGACCAUUACUGACAGCUGAGGGAGCGAAAAGCCAGGGGGAGCAAACGGGAUUAGAUACCCCGGUAGUCCACUGGCCCUAAACGAUGAAUGACUUAGGUGUGGGCGUGGUUAUCGAUCCCUUCCGUGCCGAAGCUAACGCAUUAAGUCAGUCCCGCCUGGGGAGUACGGUCCGCAAGGCUGAAACUCAAAGGAAUUGACGGGGGCCCGCACAAGCGGUGGAGCAUGCGGUUCAAUUCGACUGCAGACGCGAAGAACCUUACCCUGGGCUUGAACAUGUAGGAAGUAGACCAUUCCCGAAAGGGGAACCUGUUCCGUCAAGGAGCACUACGUAGAGGUGGCUGCAUGGCUGUCGUCAGCUCGUGUCGUGAGAUGUUGGGUUAAGUCCCGCAACGAGCGCAACCCUUGUACCCUCUGUUGCCAAUCACGUUUAUGGUGGGCACUCUUCAGGAGACUGCCGGUGAUAAGAGCCGGAGGAAGGUGGGGGAUGACGUCAAGUCAGCUAUGGCCCUUUAUGUCCUGGGGCUACACACAGUGCUACAAUGGCCGAGUACAAGACCGGUCGCAAAACUCGCAAGGUGGAGCUAAUCCCAGAAAGUCCGGUCUCAGUUCGGAUAGCAGGCUGCAACUCGCCUGCAUUGAAGUUGGAAAUCGCUAGUAAGCGCGGAUCAGCAGGCUGCCGCGUGAAUACGUUCCCGGGCCUUGUACACACCGCCCGUCACAUCCACGAAAGCCGGUUGUACUAGAAGUCCACAGCGCCAACCCGCAAGGAGGGAGGCUGCCUAAGGUAUGGUCGGUGAUUGGGGUG
rnacentral:rRNA from 1 species